ACGCUAGCGGCAGGCCUAACACAUGCAAGUCGAGGGAGAAGCCCUUUCGGGGGCAGAAACCGGCGCACGGGUGCGUAACGCGUAUGCAACCUACCUUUCACAGGGGGAUAGCCCGAGGAAAUUUGGAUUAAUACCCCAUAAUAUUAUUGGAUGGCAUCAUUUGAUAAUUAAAACUGCGGUGGUGAAAGAUGGGCAUGCGUCCUAUUAGCUAGUUGGAGUGGUAACGGCACCCCAAGGCUACGAUAGGUAGGGGUCCUGAGAGGGAGAUCCCCCACACUGGUACUGAGACAGGGACCAGACUCCUACGGGAGGCAGCAGUGAGGAAUAUUGGUCAAUGGUCGGAAGACUGAACCAGCCAUGCCGCGUGCAGGAAGAAUGCCUUAUGGGUUGUAAACUGCUUUUAUAUGGGAAGAAUAAGGCGUACGUGUACGUUGAUGACGGUACCAUAUGAAUAAGCAUCGGCUAACUCCGUGCCAGCAGCCGCGGUAGUACGGAGGAUGCGAGCGUUAUUCGGAAUCAUUGGGUUUAAAGGGUCUGUAGGCGGGCUAUUAAGUCAGGGGUGAAAGGUUUCAGCUUAACUGAGAAAUUGCCUUUGAUACUGGUAGUCUUGAAUAUCUGUGAAGUUCUUGGAAUGUGUAGUGUAGCGGUGAAAUGCUUAGAUAUUACACAGAACACCGAUUGCGAAGGCAGGGGACUAACAGACAAUUGACGCUGAGAGACGAAAGCGUGGGGAGCGAACAGGAUUAGAUACCCUGGUAGUCCACGCUGUAAACGAUGGAUACUAGCUGUUUGGCGCAAGCUGAGUGGCUAAGCGAAAGUGAUAAGUAUCCCACCUGGGGAGUACGCACGCAAGUGUGAAACUCAAAGGAAUUGACGGGGGCCCGCACAAGCGGUGGAGCAUGUGGUUUAA
rnacentral:rRNA from 1 species